AACGAACGCUGGCGGCAGGCCUAAACAUGCAAGUCGAACGCUCUAGCAAUAGAGAGUGGCGCACGGGUGAGUAACAUGUGGGAAUAUGCCUUUUGGUACGGAACAACUUUUGGAAACGAAAGCUAAUACCGUAUGGUCCCUUCGGGGUAAAGAUUUAUCGCCAAAAGAGUAGCCCGCACUGGAUUAGCUAGUUGGUAAGGUAAUGGCUUACCAAGGCGACGAUCCAUAGCUGGUCNGAGAGGACGAUCAGCCACAC
rnacentral:rRNA from 1 species